AUACACUCUGCUAUAGCUUAUAGCUAGUCACCAUAAUCACUAGCAUAAUUCACAUAAGCUGUUAGAGUUUGAGAUGGCUUCUAAAAGCAAAGCAUCACUUGCUCUCNUUUCGCCCUCAACCUUCUCUUCUUUUCCCUAGUCUCUGCAUGUGGUGGGGGCUGCCCAUCUCCUAAGCCAAAACCAAACCCAUCACCAAGGCCAACACCAACUCCAUCACCUUCCAACGGAAAAUGCCCUAGGGAUGCACUUAAACUAGGCGUAUGUGCCAAUUUGCUGGGUUCAUUGCUGAAUCUCACCAUUGGCAAACCUCCAGUAGAACCUUGCUGCUCUCUCAUCCAAGGCCUUCUCGAUCUUGAGGCUGCUGUUUGCCUUUGCACAGCCAUCAAAGCUAACAUCUUGGGCAUCAAUCUUAACAUUCCACUUUCUCUGAGCUUGCUUCUCAAUGUCUGUAGCAA
rnacentral:misc_RNA from 1 species